GGGAUGAGCUGUGGAUAGGGGUGAAAGGCCAAUCAAACUUCGUGAUAGCUGGUUCUCUCCGAAAUGCAUUUAGGUGCAGCGUUGCGUGUUUCUUGCCGGAGGUAGAGCUACUGGAUGGCCGAUGGGCCCUAAAAGGUUACUGACGUCAGCCAAACUCCGAAUGCCGGUAAGUGAGAGCGCAGCAGUGAGACUGUGGGGGAUAAGCUUCAUAGUCGAGAGGGAAACAGCCCAGAUCGCCGGCUAAGGUCCCCAAGUCGUGGCUAAGUGGGAAAGGAUGUGGGACUCCCAAAACAACCAGGAGGUUGGCUUAGAAGCAGCCAUCCUUGAAAGAGUGCGUAAUAGCUCACUGGUCGAGUGGUUCUGCGCCGACAAUGUAGCGGGGCUCAAGUACACCGCCGAAACCGCGGCAAUCAACAUGUGUUUGUUGGUUGGGUAGGGGAGCGUCGUGCACGACGGUGAAGCACCUGGGUAACUUGAUGGUGUGGAGUGUGUGCGAGUGAGAAUGCAGGCAUGAGUAACGAAUGAUAUGUGGAAAACAUAUCCGCCGGAUGACUAAGGGUUCCUGGGUUAAGCUAAUCUUCCCAGGGUGAGUCGGGACCUAAGGCGAGGCCGACAGGCGUAGUCGAUGGAUAACCAGUUGAUAUUCUGGUACCCGUGUAUACGCGCCCAAUGGUGAAUCGGGGAUACUAACCACCCACAAGCAUCACAAUAUGCAACUUGUUGUAUGUGUGGUGGGUGUGCGUGGGACCUGAUCUGGUAGUAGCCAAGUGAUGGGGUGACACAGGUUGGUAGCCAAGCCACUUAUUGGAUUGUGGUGUAAGCGUGUGGCCCGUGAUAUAGGUAAAUCCGUAUCACAUUCAAGGGUGAGGCGUGAUGCGUACCCAUUGUUGGGGAUGUUGGUGAUCCUGUACUGUCGAGAAAAGCCUCUAGCGAGUGUGUACAUGGCCCGUACCCAUAACCGACACAGGUGGUCAGGUAGAGAAUACUAAGGCGUUCGGGUGAACUGUGGUUAAGGAACUCGGCAAAAUGCCCCCGUAACUUCGGGAGAAGGGGGACCACUGCUGGUGACAGACUGGUUGAGCUGGUGGUGGUCGCAGAGAAUAGAGG
rnacentral:rRNA from 1 species